GGAGGAAAGAGCAAUUCUCAGUCACCUGACAACAUCAGUAGUAGUAUACAGUGAGUGAACUUACAGCUUCAGCUCCUUGCUUUAUAAGAACCAGGGAGCCAUCUCUGACACCUUCCUCAAUAUCCAUAUCGGAGUGGCGUUCGAGCAACUAACCUAGCUCUCACAAUAUGAACAACAGUAGCAACUGUGAGAAGAGAGUGAACAAGUGGAGAUCUCUCUCCCAGCAAAAAGAAUGAAACUUUAAACCGACUCAAAUUAACGGAGAAGAAGCACAGAAACGAACCUUUUGUCGGCGUAACGGCGGAAUCCGGCGCGGCGGAGUGGACAGAAAACCGCUCAAUUGAAAAGAAACGCUAAAACCCUUCGUCUUGUUUUCUUCCAACCAUAAACCACAUCUCCAAUUUUCUCGGCAGGGAAUGGGUUGACAUCAAAACGACGCCGUAUUAGUGUUUUGAUUAUGGGGGUGUUUCCGUAAUUUAUUGUAAUCAGAGUUGAGGCCUGAAUUACCUGAAUCUUCUCCGCCGAAUUACGAACCCUAACAAGACUACGCUCCCUGCAUCGAGACGGAGGAGCUCAGUGACGCCCUGUUGUCCGUCGGAAUCUUGGUAUCAUUACUGGUACUUCUUCUUAUUCUUAUUUUAAUUGAUUAGGUUGCUGAUUGGUCGCAUGAUUAAAUUAGUUGCCUGCGCAGAGUUUGUACUGGUGAAUUAUGAAAAGGGGGAUUCCAUGGAGUGACGAUGAAGGUAAAGGGUCGUCAGAUUCCGACGAUGAAUCGUCGUCCUCGUCGGCAUCGGAUUCUGAGAAUGAGAUUGCCAAAACCAAGACGAAAUCCAAGAACGCAUCUAAAGGUACCCUGUCAUAUCUGGUUACAUAUCUGGUUUCUCGCUUACAACUGACUUGUCAACUUGAAAUCCUUGGUUAAAAGAUGUUACAGCCUUCUUCAAAUUACAAGUUCAAUUUUUAGCUGUUGGGAUUGAAUAGAUGAGUUAAAAGAAUCAAUUUGCCACUCCAAAGCCACUAUUUUUGCUGAUCUUAAGUGCAAUUUUACAACGAAUCAGAGAGCCAUUGUUUUCUUUUGCUGUAAACUUAGUUUGACUUUAGUUUUGUGAUGGGUGAUUACUUAUUAGAAUGUCUUUGAUGUGGAUUCUAUAGGCAAGGCUGCAAAGCGUAGGGGUGGAGUUGUGGACUUUGAGGACCUAAGGCGACAUGGAUACAAAGGUGCACCAUCAGUCCUGAGAAUGCCACCACCUAAAGACGACACUGAGCCGAACUGGACCUGG
rnacentral:lncRNA from 1 species